rnacentral:rRNA from 1 species
GAGGAAUAUUGGACAAUGGAUGGAAAUCUGAUCCAGCCAUGCCGCGUGCAGGAAGACGGCCCUAUGGGUUGUAAACUGCUUUUGUAUGGGAGCAAUAAGGACUACGUGUAGUUUGAUGAGAGUACCAUACGAAUAAGCAUCGGCUAACUCCGUGCCAGCAGCCGCGGUAAUACGGAGGAUGCGAGCGUUAUCCGGAUUUAUUGGGUUUAAAGGGUGCGUAGGCGGCGAUAUAAGUCAGUGGUGAAAUAUUUCGGCUUAACCGAGAGACUGCCAUUGAUACUGUGUUGCUAGAAUAUGGUUGCUGUGAGUGGAAUGUGUGGUGUAGCGGUGAAAUGCUCAGAUAUCACACAGAAUAUCGAUUGCGAAGGCAGCUCACAAAGCCAUUAUUGACGCUGAGGCACGAAAGUGUGGGGAUCAAACA